rnacentral:rRNA from 1 species
CCUACGGGUGGCAGCAGUGAGGAAUAUUGGUCAAUGGACGAGAGUCUGAACCAGCCAAGUAGCGUGAAGGAUGACUGCCCUAUGGGUUGUAAACUUCUUUUAUAUGGGAAUAAAAUGUUCCACGUGUGGGAUUUUGUAUGUACCAUAUGAAUAAGGAUCGGCUAACUCCGUGCCAGCAGCCGCGGUAAUACGGAGGAUCCGAGCGUUAUCCGGAUUUAUUGGGUUUAAAGGGAGCGUAGGGGGAUUGUUAAGUCAGUUGUGAAAGUUUGGGGCUUAACCGUAAAAGUGAAGUUGAAACUGGCAGUCUUGAGUACAGUAGAGGUGGGUGGAAUUCGUGGUGUAGCGGUGAAAUGCUUAGAUAUCACGAAGAACUCCGAUGGCGAAGGCAGUUCACUGGACUGCAACUGACACUGAGGCUCGAAAGUGUGGGUAUCAAACAGGAUUAGAUACCCCAGUAGUC